GGGCUUGGUAUGGAAACCCGCUGAGUGAGAACUUUCAAAUUCAGAGAAACCCUGGAAGUAAUAAAAAGGGGCAAUCCUGAGCCAAAUCCUAUUUUCUGACAACAAAAAACAAAGGUUCAGAAAGUGAAAAAGGGGAUAGGUGCAGAGACUCAAUGGAAGCUGUUCUAACAAAUGGAGUUGGAUACGUUAGUCGAGAAGUCUUUCCAGGAAAAAUUCCUAAAGUACUAAAGUAAAAGUAUAAGUAUUUAAGGAUGAAGUGGAAGUGAAGGAUAAACAUAUAUACAUACGUAGUGAAUAGUAUAUUCAAUCAGUAAUGACAGCCAAAAUGAAUCUCUAUUUAUUUUUUCUAUGAAAAAAUAAAGAAUUGUUGUUACUAGAUUCCACGUUUAAGAAAGAAUCGAAUAUUCAUUGAUCAAAUGAUUCACUCCAUAGUCUGAUAGAUCUUUUCACAAACUCAUUAAUCAGACGAGAAUAAAGAUAGAGUCCCAUUUUACAUGUCAAUGCCGACAACAAUGAAAUUUAUAGUUAAGAGGAAAAUCCGUCGACUUUAAAAAUCGUGANNNNNNAAGUCCCUCUAUCCCCAAAUAGACUAUUCAAUUCCCCAUCUAUCUAUUUACCGACCUCCCCUUUUGUUUUUGUUAUCGGUUCAAAAUGCCUUAUCCAUUCACUCUAUUCUCGUAGAAGUGAUCGGGUCGACAAUGUCCUUUUCUUAUCCCAUCUGUAUCAUAUACAUACAAAUGUAUAUGUUUGAGCAAGAAAUCCCCAUUUGAAUGAUUUACAAUCGAUAGAAUUCCUCCUACUAAAAUUCCCAAAGUCCUCUUUUUUAAGAUACAAGCCAAAGAAUCUCAGUACCUAAAAAAACUUGGGAAUUCCCUUUCCUUCUUUUAAUUGACACAGUACCCAUUUUCGAGUAAAAUGAGGAUGCUACAUUGGAACGGGUCGGGAUAGCUCAGCUGGUAGAGCAGAGGACUGAAAAUC
rnacentral:misc_RNA from 1 species